UGGGGAAUAUUGGACAAUGGGGGAAACCCUGAUCCAGCAAUGCCGCGUGUGCGAUGAAGGCCUGCGGGUUGUAAAGCACUUUCGGUGGGGAAGAAAUGCCCAAAGAUAAUACCUUUGGGAGCUGACGUUACCCACAGAAGAAGCACCGGCAAACUCUGUGCCAGCAGCCGCGGUAAUACAGAGGGUGCAAGCGUUAGUCGGAGUUACUGGGCGUAAAGGGCGUGUAGGCUGAUAUCUCAGUCGAGUGUGAAAUCCCUGGGCUUAACCUAGGAAUUGCAUUCGAUACUAGAUGUCUUGAGUAUGGUAGAGGAAAGCGGAAUUCUCGGUGUAGUGGUUAAAUACGUAGAUAUCGAGAAGAACACCGGUGGCGAAGGCGGCUUUCUGGACCAAUACUGACGCUGAGGCGCGAAAGCGUGGGGAGCAAACA
rnacentral:rRNA from 1 species